UCUGGUGUACACUCACGAAUGCUGAGAUCCCAGGCAAGGAUGACCUUCUCUAAAAGGGACACAUGAAUACCAAGGUGGCAUGUAGAAGUCCUUUAUCUAUGGUGGGAGGUCAGCCAGCUCUGAGAUAUAUGCAGAACAUAAAAAUGUCAUGAUAAUAAGCCUCCUUGAAGCCGCCAUGAUGGUCCUCUGUGUGGAGCUAAGGGAAGGGAUGGAGCAAACCCAUGUACAAUGCAGGUGGUCCUGGGCUGCAUAGGAAAGCAGGCUGAGCAAGACAUAGAGAGGAAGACAACAAGUACCACUCCAUGGCCUACUUCAGUUCCUGCUUUGAAUUACUGCCUUGACUUCUCAAGAUAAUGGACUACAAAUGGAUAUGGGAGGCUUGAGCAAAUACUAUGAAUCUCUCAAGGAGCUAUGGAUUACCUUAAAAGGCUAGACAACAGAGCCACGGCACAGGAAGUCUGCCCUGGAUGCUAUCCUGCUGGGAAUUGGCCCUCUGAAACAGAUCCAUCCACCCGAUGAGUCAUGACAUUAAAAAUGAUGAAGGAAAUGGACUGGGCCCCAGACAAACAGCUCGGGGCAAUACGAUUCCUGCAUCCAAAGGACUAUGGGUUACAGACACCUCUCUCUUCUGGGAUACAACGUGUAAAAGCCGGAUUGAGAUCUCUAUGCCUGUUCUUCAACUGCUGUGGCUACCACUAUUCCAAGAGACAGAAUAAGAAAGUUAAAGACAACAAGAAAUGGGUCUGUAAGGCCCGAAGUGAGUGGUGUGGCAAACGACUGGACUCACUCACAUGAAUAUAAGGGUAAUCCAUUCAGGAACAGACUAAGUCUCGUCCUGACCUACUUGUCGUUUUUCUGUAAAGACCACUCGAGGUUUUAUCAACUUGAUCAACAGGUAUGUUCAUAGUAAACCCGAGUAACCAUUUUUGUACAGUGAAUAAAGUAUUUUUAAUAAUCCAGAUUUUAUUUAAA
rnacentral:lncRNA from 1 species